UACGUAGGGCGCGAGCGUUGUCCGGAAUCAUUGGGCGUAAAGAGCUCGUAGGCGGCCUGUCGCGUCUGCUGUGAAAUCCCGGGGCUUAACCCCGGGCGUGCAGUGGAUACGGGCUGGCUGGAGGCAGGCAGGGGAGAACGGAAUUCCCGGUGUAGCGGUGAAAUGCGCAGAUAUCAGGAGGAACACCGGUGGCGAAGGCGGGUCUCUGGGCCGAUACUGACGCUGAGACGCGAAAGCUAGGGGAGCAAACAGG
rnacentral:rRNA from 1 species